rnacentral:rRNA from 1 species
AUUGAACGCUGGCGGAACGCUUUACACAUGCAAGUCGAACGGCAGCACGGGUGCUUGCACCUGGUGGCGAGUGGCGAACGGGUGAGUAAUACAUCGGAACGUACCCAGUUGUGGGGGAUAACUAACCGAAAGGUUAGCUAAUACCGCAUACGACCUGAGGGUGAAAGCGGGGGACCGUAAGGCCUCGCGCAAUUGGAGCGGCCGGUGUCUGAUUAGCUAGUGGGUAGGGUAAAGGCCUACCAAGGCAACGAUCAGUAGCUGGUCUGAGAGGAUGAUCAGCCACACUGGAACUGAGACACGGUUCAGACUCCUACGGGAGGCAGCAGUGGGGAAUUUUGGACAAUGGGCGAAAGCCUGAUCCAGCCAGUCCGCGUGAGUGAAGAAGGCCUUCGGGUUGUAAAGCUCUUUCGGCAGGGAAGAAACGGCCUAGGUUAAUACCUUGGGCUAAUGACGGUACCUGAAGAAGAAGCACCGGCUAACUACGUGCCAGCCGCCGCAGUAA